CGCUGCCAAUCACACCUCACUCUCUCAGCAUAUAACCAGACGCUACUCACCUCUCAGGGCUAGAUCGUGAUACAGCCUUUUCUGCCUACUCCUGCCUGGUCUCACCUGGAUUCUUCGCCAUCUCCUCCACUCGGGGUUCAUCUAUCACAGCUGUUCCUUGGUGUCCUCUCCAUACCUAUCUGCCGUUUCAACUUCUCCUUGGAAUUCAUCCACUUGAGGUCCCCCAGCGUGAGCCCAGUCCGAGCAUCAGUCCUAGUUUCAUUUGUGAUUACUUCUGAUUGUUUACUGAAGUACUUUUGGAUGGUUUUUCUGUGCCCUAUUGUUAUAGUCUAGCUUGAGUUUCUAGAAGUGUGUAUUUGAGCCUAUUGUUUGUGCUAGGGUUUAGAGCUUCACAGUUUUUGUAAAGCUUCGCUUAAUCCUUUCUUGCCUGGGUAUUACCCACCUUGAGUUAGCAUCAUGGUUUGUUUGUCCUCCUCACCGCUAGUUGUUAGAGUGCUCUUCUUGAGUAAUAGUGUUGAAUUGUUUCCAUCUAUGUUUUGGUUUGUAGUAAAAUCACAAUCUUGUGAAUAAACUCUGUUAAACUGUG